rnacentral:ribozyme from 10 species
AUCUCACAACGUUAAUCGCCUCCUCGUGGCGUGAGAUGGAAACAGCAUAUUUGCAAAUAUGUUGGCUAAGAUUAACAG